UACGUAGGGUGCAAGCGUUAAUCGGAAUUACUGGGCGUAAAGGGCUCGUAGGCGGCCAACUAAGUCGGACGUGAAAUCCCCAGGCUCAACCUGGGAACUGCGUCCGAUACUGGAUGGCUUGAAUUCGGGAGAGGGAUGCAGAAUUCCAGGUGUAGCGGUGAAAUGCGCAGAUAUCGGGAGGAACACCAAUGGCGAAGGCAGCUCGCUGGGACGGUACUGACGCUGAGACGCGAAAGCGUGGGGAGCGAACAGG
rnacentral:rRNA from 1 species